rnacentral:misc_RNA from 1 species
GGAAGUCUACUUCUGCCACCCAUUCUCUAUGACCUUGAAGACCAUCCGGUUUCAAGCUCUUGACAGCAACCGUAACCCCAGAACCGGGCUUUGCUGGUGCUGUUCCAUUCUCCUCUAUCCAGCCUUUGAAUACAUAUCCAAAUCCACCUUCACCAAGAAUGCUAUCGGGCCUGAAGUUCCCCGUUGCAGAUUUUAGCUCGUGAAAUGUAAACUGAAGCAGCUGCCGCUGCACUUUGUUCUCUGCACCUGGUGGAAGCUGUGUUGGUGGAUCAGUAGGGGUAUCUGAUGACACUCUAGCUUCAUCUGGUACACACAUCUCGCGGUUGCUAGCGUUGAGAUACCGAGUCUCUG